CAUCAUCAGUUGUUUGCUAAUCGUAUAAUCAGUCAAUUCUCAUUCAUUCUUAUUUAUUUAUUAUACAUUUCUAAUCAAUUUUUACAUUAUAAAUAAAUCAUAUCCUACGUGGCAUCGUAUAAUCACUUCAUUCUAAUCAAUAUAUAAUACGAUUAUAGAUUCAUGCGCUCCCCUUAAUUCAAGGUCGCAUGUGGCGUAUCUAAGAAUUCAGUAUUUGAAAUCCCUGCAAAUCUAGAGCUUCUAGGUUUAAAAUAUAUAUCUUACGUGGCAAAAUAAUUCCACAUAAGUUUUAUUUAUAUUAUUCUCACUUUAAUUAAGUUAUUUUAUUACUGUUUAGGUUAAACCUAAUUCACUGAUCUUUGGACCGCCUCACGCACACUGUCGCAUACCUCCCAGCCAACCACCGCCAGCCGCCGUCCUGCCGCCGCGAUUCAGACGCCGUUCUCCACCCCAUGAUUCAGACGCCGUCACCGCCUUCUGCGCGAAUCCAGCCGUGCCGUCCUCCGCCUUCUCCAGCCGCCCAUGUCGCCCAUGGCAUCACCAUAGCCAUCAGCAUAGGCCGCCGAUUCCCCAAUAUCCGACUCCAUAUCUCCCACCAGCAAUCCUCCCAACAAUCCCGCCCCCAAUCCUAACCCUAAUCCGCCGCCCAUUCCCAUCUUAUUCUUCUUCGGCCUCACUGAGUCUGGAUCUGAAAGAGGAGGGAGAGGCCGGGCUUGCCGGCUUGUGCUUUGAAGGAACCAUGGGUGGUGAUAAAGCAAUAAGUCUUGAAGAGAUUAAGAAUGAGACUGUUGAUCUGAUUGGAGACAGGAAUGAGACCCAUGAUGUACCCACCAUCAUGCUAGAUAGACAAAGUCCUUUAAAGUCGAGGUGGGAACGAGGUCUGACAAUCGGGAACAAUUUUCAAACAUUUUUCCUGAUGAGGCCAAUAUGAAACUCAAUGAACAACAAUUGUCAUUCCUAUCAAGUCCUAAGGCAGUGAAGGAUUUCCUCGAAAACCAGAGAGAAAAUAUAACAAAUAUUAUCAAGCAGAAUCUAGCUGUUGGUGACAUAUUCAAACGCGAAAACUUGCAGGUACACAUUUCCUCUUUAUUUAACCUCUCUUAUGCUGCUAUCUAUGUAGUUGUGAUAAGUUAUGUGUCACAUUCAGAAAUCGAACAUGGACGCAGUUUAAAUGAUAAAUAUAUUGCCUCAUCGAUAUUUACAGCCAACAGAGUAAGCUUAAUUUUAUUAUUUAUUUCAUUAAUAUGAAAUAUUCAUUAUUUUUCCCCAAAUGUGUUUUGAGCUCGCUCCAAUUUUCCUUUUUCUCCGUGUUGCAGAUUGGAUUUUUUUUUGGCAAGUUUGUUGAAUUCGCGGUGUGUAGUGAUAUCAAUUCUCUGCUUUGAUAUUUGAAUUUGCGUUCUUGCUGUGAUAAAUUGGGCUAUUUUUGCAAUUUCCUUUAUUCUCCGUACUGUCACUUACACCUGGAUCAUACAUGGGCUGUGCCAUGUGGGCAGAUGGGAAGAUAUGCGAGAACUGGUACACGAAAUGAUUGAUAGGAAGAUGAUGUCUUUAAACGUGAUCUCUUUUAAUGUAUUGGUGAAUAUGCUAUGACACCAUGAUAAAGGGGUUGUUGUGUGUAGGUAGAUUUGCAUAGCGCUGGAAGCUCUUUGGUGAUAUGGAGGCUCAGAGAGUUCAUCCUGAUCUGAUCAUAUAUAAAAAAAGUUUCACACAGUUUGUAUUAUACUAUGUAAUAUGGAAGUCUUUUUUUUUUUUUUUUUGAGAAGUAGUUUUUCUUAUUACUAAUCUUUUACCUUUAAAAAAUGAGAAGAUGAUCAGAAUGUUUCUCGUGGAUAAAAAGUGAAAAAAGUGUUUAAAGGGUAAAACCUUUACCCAAAAAGGAAAGAGUCUUACUUAUGGUAAGACACCAAAAAUAGAAAGAGUCUCAUUUAUAGUGGGACAAAUGGAGUAAGUCUUUUUCAGCAAUUGUAAGCUUUUUAUCUUACAAGUUUUCUUGAAAGGGAUAAAUAUGUUGCAAUUAGUCUGUAUUUGUCACGUGUUGUAACACCCCAAAUAUUUAGAUCUAUUAUAUAAGUUUAAUUAUUAGUA